UGGGCGCACUGAUGCAGCGACGCGCGUGAGGAUGGAGGCUUCGGGUUGUAAACUCUUUCGCUCAUGGGUCAAGCCGCGACGUGGGGUUGUGUGUGAGGGGUAGUGGGGUAAAGAAGGCGCCGGGCUAACUACGUGCCAGCAGCCGCGGUAAUACGUAGGGCGCGAGCGUUGUCCGGAAUUAUUGGGGCGUAAAGGGCUUGUAGGCGGUUGGUCGCGUCUGCCGUGAAAUUCUCUGGGCUUAACUGGGGGCGUGCGGUGGGUACCGGGCUGACUUUAAUGCCGGUAAGGGGAGACUGGGAACUCCUGGUGUAGCGGUGGGAAU
rnacentral:rRNA from 1 species